AUGGCGCUUCCUCUCAAGCCGGCAAAAACACCGGCGAUCCGCCUCCCCCCUAGCACCAUAUCACUCGCGCUGCCCACUUGCACGCAUUGCAGUUCAGAGCACUCUCUGAAUCUCGAGUGGAAUUCUUGAAUCGACGACGACGACGACGGCGACGGCGACUGUACGUGUCGAGCUCUUGCUAUCUUGCCUGUGAUGCCGCCGGCGCCGAGCGGUUUGCUCAAGCCGGCGAACGGCUCUAAGCAUGAGGCCGCCGCCAUGGCGAGGAAGCACGGCUUCCCCAAGCUGUCGGCGUCCAGCAAGGCGCUGGUACUGCUGCCGCUGCUGCUCCUGGGGUUCAUCUACCUCUUCGUCUACCCCAAGGAGUUCGAGCUGCAGGCGCUCAUGAGCUCCUGCAGCCCGCCGCUGGGCGCCUACACGGCGGCACCGCGGCGGCUCGCCGGGGAGCCCCCCGCGUCGCGGAAGCCCGAUUUCCGCCUCCUCAUCGGCGUGCUCACCCGCGCCGACAACUACGAGCGGCGGCACCUCCUCCGCAUGGUGUACGGCCUCCAGCUCGCGGCCGGCGACCUCACCGCGCACGUCGACGUCCGCUUCGUCUUCUGCCGCCUCUACAAGGACGACCAGCGGGUGCUCGUCCCGCUCGAGAUCCUCCGCCACGGCGACGUCAUCAUCCUCGACGAGUGCGAGGAGAACCUCAACGGCGGCAAGACCUACACCUUCUUCUCCGCGGCGGCGCGGCUGUACCGCGACGAGCCGUACGACUACGUGAUGAAGGCCGACGACGACAUCUUCCUCCGGCUGCCGAGGCUGCUCGAGUCGCUGGCGGCGAUGCCGCGCGACGACGCCUACUACGGCGCCACCAUCCCGUGCGACAGCAUGGACCCGUUCCGGGAGUACAUGUCCGGCAUGGCGUACGCGCUGUCGUGGGACCUCGUCGAGUGGGUGGCCACCUCCGACGUGCCGCGCAACCGCACCGUCGGGCCGGAGGACAGGAUGACGGGGCAGUGGCUGCGGCUGGGUGGGAAGGGGAAGAACCGGUUCAACGCCAAGCCGGCUAUGUACGACUACCCGCUGCCGGCGCCGGUGGACAAGUGCUCGCACGAGUUCGUGCCGGACACCAUCGCCGUCCACCGGCUCAAGGACAACCCGCGAUGGGCGGCGACGCUUGAGUACUUCAACUUCACCGCUGGCCUUGAGCCGUCCAAGUUCUACAAGAUCGACUAGCGGAGGAGAGGAUCGAUGGGAGUACAUGACUCGUCUUCUUGGUUAAUUUUGGGAGUUUGAUAAAUGAUAAAGAUUUCUAUAUAUAUAUAUAUGUAUUUUUUUUGGCAUUUUCAGAAAUUAUUUCCCCUUCAGCCCCUUCUCUUCGGUGUAUGUUGAAUGAUGAACACUUGAUUCAAAUAUACAGAUGA